GAGGGUAUAGCUCAGUGGUAGAGCGCAUGCUUAGCAUGCAUGAGGUCCUGGGUUCAAUCCCCAGUACCUCCA
rfam:Camelus ferus unplaced genomic scaffold scaffold902, whole genome shotgun sequence.